AGUUUUAUUUAUGGAGGGAUUUCCAGGGAUCUACCUUAAACACCUAGCUCCUCUAGGCAAGGGGAGAAGCUCUCCCCUUCCACCCACUUCGGCUAGGAGUUAGGUUUUGGAUUUGAGGGAAUUGCCUCCCUCUGUCCACUCCCCACUCUGACCUCAGGACCCUAUUUAGAGCCAAGCAGAAAUGUUGGCUUGGGACCAACAGGCUGAAGUGGGGUGCAAAAGUGCCACGCUCCCCAUCCUUGACAACCCUGAUGAGGCCACGGAGAAUUGGAGGUACUGCCUUUCAUGGUGUUCAAAGAUCUGAAAGCUAGAGAGUGUCCCAGUGCAAGGCAGCCCACGGCAGCUGCUUAGCCUUCCCGGUGCUUUUUCUCAGCUCAUAUGUAUCCAGAUAAAAGUGCCCAGCGGCGUGCCCCCACACACCCCUGACAAAUGCCUGUCAUAAAGUUUCUUUCCUGGGGGUGGAGAGAUGUCUGUCUGAAGAUAUCCAGCAGUGAAGUGGCCCCCACAAGGGGCCCUUCUUUCAGCAGUACACACUCCUCCUUCUUACCCCCUAAAUUUCCAAGGGCACUGAAGGAACCCACACAAGUGCUUUUCCCCACAGAGCCAGACAUUACUGCGAAUAAAAACCAGGCACCUCAAUCACUGAGGCCUUAUCAAACUGAGUGCCCCCACUUCAGACAACCCAGCUUGUCAGAACUUGGUGCAAAAAGCAGACUAAAUUUCACCCUACAGUCCUGCCAGAGGCACGAUUUCCUUCCCCCGAUCCCAAGCCCCAAAUUGAAAGGGGAAAAAGCGAAAGCUGGAAGCGACUUACUGCGAGAGAGCUGGGCCUCGGCUGCCGCCACUGCCUUCUGGGCUGCGAGAGCCCUCACCUACCUCUGCCCCCUUCCCCACCACAGCGAGCAGUUAAAGUGUCACUUAACAUUCUGGAGAAUGUGAAAUAUACCGCGCGGUGUCAACUCCCCAAAACCAUAAAACUAACUUUAUGGACCUCACGUGACUUUCUCGAGCCAGUGAGGGGUAUCUGUCUGACUUCUCGGCGAUUUUUACGAUCUAACUUCAAGAUAAAACCCCUAUCCAUUUGACAUCUAAAUGUCAUAGCGACUUUUGGGAUAGUUUGCUAUGGACAAAGGGGGACAAAGUCAAGGGGUGAGGGGGAAAGAGGGCCCAGUAGAGCUUCCACGACCCUCGGCUGCCUCCUCACCAGCUUCCCCUCCCCCCAAGUCCUGUAAGAAGUUGGGCCAAGCUGGAAGGGAUUGAACGGGUUGCCUGUCGCGAGAUGGAGCCACAAAGGCAAGGCCUGGGCGCCUGGAGUCCAGCAUGAAAGGAAAUAGCGCCUCAUCGCUCUUAUCUAAGCCCAGAGACACCAACAGUUUCCAGAAAACUCGGCUCAAUUACUUCAUCACGGACUCACCGGCCAAGGAACUGACCAAGACUCACAAGCCAACCCCGAGAACACAGACCCGGUUGUCUUUUGACAACCGAGUGGAACUGCCCGGCCGUCGCCUCCUCUGCUGGUACCUCCCUUGACGGAAAAGAAAACCAAAUAAACCUUGAACAGCCUUGGCUUCGGAUCUCUGGAGCAGCCGGGAUGAACCCCUCUCGCGCUUGCAGUGGAGGCUGGUGGGCUCGCGACCGUGAUCCCCCAACCCUUGGAUUCACGGCCUCCUGCCCGCGGGAUGCAGUGUUAGUCCUCUUUAAAUAUGCCCUAGAAAAAGCUGCUUUCCCCAGCCAGCCGCCAGAUUUGGAGCCAGGAUGGGGCGGGCGAAGGGGAGGAGACAUUUGUCCUCUAAUCCAUACGCAAGCGGACGUGAACCAAGAUCUAGCGGAAAGCGACAAUCUGGGCCCCAAGUCCCCCAAAUUCCGCCGAACCUGAGCGGCGGUGCUCCCGGCGUUGGGCACGGUUCAGGCAGCGUUGGCGUGGCUUGCCAAAGUCGCAUGUCUCCGAAUGGACGGUAGAUGGCAGCAAACCGCAUAAUUUGGGUCAGAGCAAACUGUCUAAAGGAUGAUUUAUACUCACCGAGACUACAGGAGAAAAAGACCUUUAGUCUGGCCGCUUCCUUGCCCUCGCCGGCCUCUGCGGAGAUUCCAGGCCCUCCAGAGACCAGGACGUCCCUCAGCGCCACCGCCCCUCGUGCCAAUGCUGCCGGGAAACUGCCGAUUCCCGAACCGGGCAAGAGAACAGAGCGGGGGCAAUUAGGGGAGGCCAAAACGAGGGAGGGAUAGUGGGCGGGGGAGGGGGCGCAAACCCACAGAGGCCGUAGCAACGGGCUUUUGCCAGAGCCCGGAAGCCCAGACACCCCCAUCCUCUUUCGAAAACCCCUCGCUUCAGCCUCUCCUCGCUUAAAAAGGCGACUAAGAGCUCGCCUCCGUGGCCCCUUUCGGUUCCUCCUCCCAUCUCCCCUGCCUUGGGUCCCCCUCCAGGAAGCAGCCACCCCUCUUUCGAUCACCAAAUUUCCUGGAAAGUCGCUCCCUGCAGCACCCAGAGGUGGGGUUCAGCCCGGUCUUGGACGGCGGAGGAUGGAGACAAACCCAAGCCCCAUCCUCUACAAAAUCGAGGCGAAAGAAUAAGAAUAUUGUAGAAUCUCCCUUACCUUUGCAGACCGUGGUGUUUCUAUCCUCGGAUUGAAAGGGGUGGGGAGGAAGAAAAAAAAAAAAAGAGCGUUCGGUUUCUUCAUCUUCCAGAUAAUAUUGUCCCAACCUGAGAGCCGUCGCUUCCCCUUCUCUGACUUGGGAGGGUGUUUCUCUUUUCUGAUAUUUGCAUAGAAAAUGGACUAAGUUCUGGCUUUGAAAAAUGGUAUCAGGCUGCGGUCCUGGGCAGAUAGUCCAUUUACCCUCCAUGAUGACUAAAAUCCUAGAUCAGCACGCAAAUUAACUUAGGAAUUAAAAUUAUUUUUGGUUCUCUUUUGUGUAAUUCCCACCCCCUCCUUCCCUCUCUCUUCUUUCCUCUUCCCCUCUCUCUUCCUCUCUCUCUUUUGCUUUAUCGAGCUGAUACUGAAGUAUAAAAAUAUCAAGAGGCUGGAGCCCUGAAGGACGACAGUGCUCCGACCUAGGUGUGGUGUCCAAAAGAAUGCUGCAUUAUAACCACCAGGGAAAUGAUAAAAAGUUCAUGUUCACGAUCGCCCGGCCACAUGACCGGCGCCGGCCAAUCGCUGGAUUCAACCACUCAUAAACUUCUAUCACAAAGUUGUAAAUUUUCAUAAAACAACAAGGAAUUUAUUGCAUUUCUUCAUGGCUGCUCCACCAGCAACCCUUUUCUCAGUCGCCAUCUUCUUUUCUUCUCCUUCUCCUUUUUUGGGGAAACCCCAAUCUGAGAAAGGGUGAGAAUUGGGGUGCAGGCGAUCAGACCGAGGAGCCACAAAGAUCCAUCUGGGAAGGGUGUUCUUAUUAGAACCUCCCUAUUCUCACAGGAGCUCUGGCCCCAUCUUCUAGUAAAAAUUCACCCUAAAUUCUCCAUACGGGUACCAUUCUAAGGCAGUUGGGGUUAAGUCGGGAGCAGCAGCUGUUGUCUGGAGUUGCCACUUGCAUCAAGGCAAAAUGAAAGCUCCAGUGCCCCCUCUCCUCCUCUUAAAGCCCCCCUCAUUUCCAGCCCUAUUUAUGAGGGGAUCUCCACCUGUGAGGCUUGCAGCAUUGCAGCUGUGGGGGUCCUAAGUCCCCUGGGGCCUAGUUUUCACACGGGGAAGGAAAGGUGGCCCUGAUGGAGGCCAAGGUGGACAGUGUAGCAACCAGAUUCUUGCCUCUGCACCCGAGAGAUUGGAGGAGGCUGAAUCCUGCCUCUUCCACCCAAAUGCCGGCGUGCCCAGGUUCCCACUGACAACUCCACGUGCUCUCCAGGGUUUUUUUUUGGUCAUUUGUGGAGACACUGCAGGUUCAGGGGCCCUUAACUUACAAAUUCAAGUUAAACAGAUUCUAAAACAUGCUUGCCUUCCAACCCUCUUCCCCUAUUCUGUCCGUAAGCUGUUCUUUAAAUUUAAAUAACCCAAGAUUUAUAAUGGAAUAAAUACCAAAAAUCAGCUCCGCAAGUCUAGCUGCUUAGAAGCCAACCUCCGAGCUUUUAAUCACUCAACCAGAGGUUAUUUUGGGAGCAAAAGCCAUAGCACGAACAACAAAAUUCACCCCGUGUUUCACAGGUCCUCCGAAAUACUCCCAUAUUUUGAAUUAAGCUAUUAGCACCUAAAUUCAGGAAACGAAAUAACCUCCCCCAAAAUGUUUUUCUUCUUUCUUUCUUUCUCUGUGCUCCGGAGAAGAUUCCAGGUUGCUGGCGGCGCGGAGAGCCGGCGGAAAGGCGCGGAGGAAGCAGGCAGAGCGGGGGCUGGUGGUGCGGGAGGCUCAGAAUGCCGGGAUGCGGCCACACUAGCCGGUAAACUCGCCGCUCAGGCUUUCGCCCUUGGGGCUCAGUUUUCCCGCCCUCCCCAUUUAAAAAGUUUUAUUUGGAUCACUGUGUUAAUUUAGAAUAGAUACAUUAAAAUAAAUUAAAGUAAAAUAAACGGAAAUAAAAUAA